rnacentral:rRNA from 1 species
AUUGAACGCUGGCGGCAGGCCUAACACAUGCCAGUCGAGCGAGCGGCGGACGGGUGAGUAAUGUAUGGGGACUGCCCGAUAGAGGGGGAUAACUACUGGGAACGGUGGCUAAUACCGCAUACUAUCGGAUAACCCAUAUGGGAUUAGCUAGUAGGUGGGGUAAAGGCUAACAUAGGCGACGAUAUCUAGCUGGUCUGAGAGGAGGAUCAGCCACACUGGGACGGAACCACGGCCCAGACUCCUACGGAGGCAGCGGUGGGGAAUAUUGCACAAUGGGGGCAAGCCUGAUGCAGCCAUGCCGCGUGUAUGAAGAAGGCCUUAGGGUUGUAAAGUACUUUCAGCGGGGAGGCGUUACCCGCAGAAGAAGCACCGGCUAACUCCGUGCCAGCGGCCGCGGUAAUAC